UAAAUAAAAAUAAUCGAUUUUUUUUUCUCGAAUAUAAAGGAGCUAAAAAAAUAUAGUUUUUUUGUGGAAUAAAAAUAUAAAAUAUUUUUUUUGUAAUAAAAUGUUAUUCGUCUUUAUUUUUAUCUAGUUUAUUAAGAAAUGAAUUUAAUUCAGCUUGUAAAAUUAUGAUUUUUAUUAAAAAAUUUUUAAAUUUUUAAAAGUAAAAAUAUUAGGGAUAAGCUUAAUAUUUUAUUAUUAUAAUAUAAUUUUAAUUGAUAACUCUUAAGAUUGGAAGUGUCUAUAGAUAAAAUAGUGUUAUUACAUAUUAUUAGUAAAUAAAAUUUAUUAUUUUUUAGUUUUUAUAUUAAUAUAUUAAAUAAAACUUUCUUGUUUAAGAAAUAAUGAUUAAAUUAGUAUAAAAUUUAUGUUAAAAUUUUUAAUAGAUCAAGUUUAAAUUAAGGAAUUCGGCAAUUUAUUUUCUGCCUGUUUAUUAAAAACAUGUCCUUUUGAUUUUAUUUAAGGUCUAACCUGCCCAAUGAUUAUUUUAAUGGCUGCAAUAUUAAAUUGUGCGAAGGUAGCAUAAUAAUUAGUUUCUUAAUUAGAAGCUGGAAUGAAUGGUUUGACAAGAAAAUUACUGUCUCUAUUUAAUUUUUUUUAGAAUUUAACUUUUUAGUAAAAAGGCUAAAAUAGUUUUAAAAGACGAGAAGACCCUAUAGAAUUUUAUAAACGUUUCUAUUUAAUAAUUUUAAAAUUUUUACAAAAAUUAGGAAAAUUUAUUUUGUUGGGGUGAUAAGAAAAUUUAAUAAACUUUUCCUUUUUAUGUUCAUUGAUUUAUGAAUAUAUGAUCCAAUUAUGUUGAUUAAAAGAAUAAAUUACCUUAGGGAUAACAGCGUUAUUAUUAUUUAGAGUACUUAUCGAAAUAAUAGUUUGCGACCUCGAUGUUGGAUUAAAAUAUAUUAUUAAUGCAGAAGUUAAUAUACUAGGUCUGUUCGACCUUUAAAAUUUU
rnacentral:rRNA from 1 species